CUCUGACUUUCCUUUAAAAAUGACAUUAUGGCUGAGUGUACGUUCUUGAUACCUCUAUAAUCUUUUCAAAAACAUUGUGAAUGGUAUUCAACUAUCUUAUGUCAUUUAGUAUUGUUUGAGUAAGUGUAUAAGAAAUAGAACGUUUGUUCUACAUCUGACAAACUUUUUUUUUUUUUUUUUUUGGUCAGCUGCAGAACAAAAGUUAGAUUUUAUUUUCAGGAAAAGUUUAUAAUGCUUGUUGUCCACAGCAUUAUUUGGCCUAUUUUCUUUCUUUUUUUAUUACGAGAGAUUUAGUCCCAUCCAUAUUUUCGCCAAAAACAGGUUAUGUGGUGGUCCUUAUCUUGUCCAUCAAGCCCUUUUUCCCAAAGGAUAACUGAAGGAGAUCACAUACAUUCCAACUUACUGAGUCUGACAGACAUUCAUCUGAUGAGAUCCUCUUCAGCUGAGGAACUACUGCUGUAAGGAAAAAAGGAGAGCUACAUGAGGACCACACAACUCCUGGAGGAGGUUUCCCUGGCAACACAACUUUUCCAUUCAUCUGGUUGCAGUGUUUUCAUCCAGUAGCCUGUCACCUCACUCAAAAGCAAGGCAGAUUUAUAAAGGAAGCUGCUGGAGGGAAUUCAUUCCCUUUUCGCUGUUCUGCCUUCCACCUUUCACUGUGUGAGGACACUGCAAGAAAGUCCUCAUCAGACACCAAUUGCCAGCACCUAGAUCUUGGAAUUCUCAGCCUCCAGAACUGUGAGAAAUACAUUUUUAUUUUUCUAUAAAAUAAUAAUAAUAAUAAAAAACUUCCAUGCAGGAAAAAAAAAUCAAGUUCAAAUGUCCUGUGGUGAGGGCAUGCCAGCUUUGUUUGAGAAGCAGUAAUCAUGCCUGUGUGACUGUAAUGAAAGAAUAAAAGAUAAAUUAGCAUGGAAGAAUGUAAUGUAGUCCUUUUCACUUUAAGCAAGAAAUUUGGCUUCAAUUCUAAAUCUGGUAAGAAAAAAAUAGAAGGUUCCAAACUAAGAAGUGACAUGAUAUGAAAUGUUUUAACAGAAUCACCUUCGUUACCAUAUUGCAAAUAAAAUGAAAGUGCAUCAAGGGCAGAAGUAGGAAGGCAAGUUAUGAGAUUGUUUUGAUAAUCCAGAGGAGUUGGGAUGGUGACUUAAAGCAGUAUGGUAGCGAUCGGUUGGGUAAGCACAUGGAAUCCUGGGUAUUUAUUAAAGGUUCAGCAAAAAGGAUUUACAGAUGAAACAGAUAUGGGUCAUGAGAAAGAGUCAAGUUAAAGAUUAUAUCAAAAUUUUUUAUCUGAACAACUCGCAGUGCUGUGGUAAAUCCUUACCCCAACAAUUUACAUGACCAAUAACUGAGUGGGAACAUUAAGGAGGGGAUGGUUUGAGGAAGAAUCAGGAUCUCAGGUUGGAAAUAUUAAGAUGAAUAUGCCUAUUUAACAAUCAAAUGAAAAAUAGUAUUUUUGUAAUUUUCAGUAUUUAUUUGGCAAGAGAUUAAUCUAUAGCACUGUUACUACUUUCUCUUUUUCAUAAAAGUUGUUUUGGUAUAAAAUCAACCUGACUGGAAACUAUUCAAAUAUAUAAGCCUUUAGCUCUGACCUAUUACUUAUAUUUUUUUGCCAUUAAUAAUAUGAAUAUCCACCAAACAAGAACUUGAGACUAUAACUCUUUUCUCCACUAAAUCUUCAUAUUAAAUUAGUCAUUUAAAUAUGAUUAUUCUUUUCAUUUAUUGCUAAAUACUUUCCAUUACAUUCAAACUUAUUGAGACAUCCUUUAAUUUUAUAAUUUAUUUAAUGUAUUAAUUCCCUAGCUUCUAAACUGGUUCUCUCUACUGCAACUCUAUUUUCUUCUUAAUAACUCAUCAUCUACAUUCCCCAAUGUCUUAUUUUUCCAAAACAAAAGUGCACUCAUGUCCUUCUAGGGCAUACAUUUCUUUAAUGGCUUUCUAUUGUUAU
rnacentral:lncRNA from 1 species